GCACGCUGCCAGGUAGUCGCUGCCUCGGGCUCCAUUCAGUAAAAAUAAAAAAGGAAGUCGGGAGAACGCGCGUUCUCAGGCCGCCCCUACUAGUCUCCUACACUCUGAGGACACGCCGUGACUGUCCCUUCUACCCACUCGAGACAUGGGCAAGAGACAGAAGACACCACAGCUUCUCUAUCACUCACGAAGUCUCCCUGAUAAAUGCCCCCAUGUGGUGGCUGGGGCUUGUGGUGUGCACCCCAUGAGAUUUUAUUUAUUUAUUCAUGAGAAGAUAGGAAGAGAGAGAAAGAACCAGACACCACUCUGGCACACGUGCCGCCGGGGAUCGAACUCAGGACCUCAUGCUUGAGAGUCCAAAGCCUCAUCACUGCACCACCUCCUGGACCACACACCUUUUUUUUUUUUCUGGUUUGGGGAACUCAAAUAUCUGGAAACAUUUUAAAUGAAUAUCAUGCUAACACUGCUGUAGUGCUAAAGUUUUUUUUUAAAUGAAGUGUAUUUGGUAAGGAUAAGGGCAAAAAAUCAGAGAUAUGGGUGUAGACUUGUGUGUAGUGAAAGGCAAUUAAGUUGUUGGACAUUCUUUUGCUUUUAGUUAUUUGGUCAAAAAUAGACUGAGUUUAAUGUUUAUGGAAUUUUGUUCAUAAACACUGAUGUGGUAGCUUGCUUUCAAAGAGGACCUACGGUGAAUCAGGACCCCAGUGUUCCUCCGUCACUGCAGUUUCUUCCCCUCAUGAAUCAGGGCUGUGGGCCUGUGACCUGCUUUAGGGAAUGGAAUGCAGCAACAAGGCUUUGUGCCAUUAACUCACAGUCAAAUCCUCUAGGAUGUUCAGCUAGACUGGUGGCACCCAAGUGUGAGAAAACCCAAGUUUCUUGUGAUGUGGCUAAACUCUUAUAGAAACACGUGAAGGGGACUUCUAGGAGGCGUGGCCAUAGAGUACCGGGUCAGAUCAGCUUGACCCCCAACAACAAAUAAAUACAAGAGACCCAAGUAGAAUUCAUAAUCUUCUGCUGAAAGAUCUGCAGCCUCAGCCACCAACUUGCGGAUGCUACCAUGACACCAUCCUGACUACCCCGGACAGAUGGCCUCACCAGUGUGUCCUGGAGCCCCACGUCCCCAGAGCCCUGCCCCACUAGGGAAAGACAAACAGGCUGGGGGUUUGGAUGCACUUGCUAACACCCAUGUCUAGUGGAGAAGCAAUGAGAGAAGCCAGAACUCCCACUUUCUGCACCCCAGAAACCAUUUUGAUCCACACUCCCAGGAUGGAGAAGUGAUAAGAGGAAGAGGCUAAGAGGGCUCUGAACUCCAGCUCCAUCAGGACUCAGAGGAGGAAAAAGGGAGGGACAUUUGGAUGUAGUAAUAGGGUCAUGAGUGGCCUGAAGGGGAAAAGAGGACGGGACCUGGGAGAAAGGGGCAAUUAUGUACAAAUGGCGACAGAUAGUUGUAGAGAUGACAGUUAACCCAUGCCUGCAACCUUGGGAGAACCACAGUGGUUUGCAAUGGAGGGACCUGGGAGUCCGAGCUCUGGUGAUGGGAACUGUGGAAUUAUACCCGUUGACAUGUAAUUUUGUAAAUCAAUACUACAUCACUAAAAAAAUAAUAAUAAUAAACAGUAAUAUUUCCAAGGAAAUAGGACCCCAGUGUGAGGAGACCCCAGCAGGAAGGGAUUACAUGGAGCACAAAGGAGAAACCAGCAGGCAUGGGGGGCAGAAAUCCCAGACUUCCUUCUUCAGUCAAGUUGUUGCAACAGUCUGGAGUCACUGGAGUUGCCACAGAUGGCACCACAUUGAGCAGAAACCAAAUCAUCUCUCCAAGCAUUGCCCACACAGCAGGAUCUUGAGCAAAUAAUAAAAGGGUUGCUGAUUAGAA